UAAACCGUGGCUCAGUUCAGAUCGUAGGCUGCAACUCGCCUACGUGAAGGAGGAAUCGCUAGUAAUCGCAGGUCAGCAUACUGCGGUGAAUACGUUCCCGGGCCUUGUACACACCGCCCGUCACACCAUGGAAGUUGGCCACGCCCGAAGCCGUUACUCCAACCCUUGUGGAGGAGGACGCCGAAGGUGGGGCUGAUGACUGGGGUGAAGUCGUAACAAGGUAUCCGUACCGGAAGGUGCGGAUGGAUCACCUCCUAACA
rnacentral:rRNA from 1 species